UAGGGAAUAUUGCGCAAUGGAGGAAACUCUGACGCAGCGACGCCGCGUGGGUGACGAAGGCCUUCGGGUCGUAAAGCCCUGUCGGAAGGGAUGAAACGCAGUGAGGCUAAUAUCCUCAUUGUUUGACCUUACCUUCAGAGGAAGCACCGGCUAACUACGUGCCAGCAGCCGCGGUAAUACGUAGGGUGCAAGCGUUGUUCGGAAUCAUUGGGCGUAAAGCGCGUGUAGGCGGUUAGUUAAGUCGAUUGUGAAAUCCCUGGGCUCAACCGAGGAAGUGCAUUCGAAACUACCUAGCUAGAGGACGGCAGAGGAAGGUGGAAUUCCAAGUGUAGAGGUGAAAUUCGUAGAUAUUUGGAGGAAUACCGGUGGCGAAGGCGGCCUUCUGGACCGUUCCUGACGCUGAGACGCGAAAGCGUGGGGAGCAAACAGGAUUAGAUACCCCGGUAGUCC
rnacentral:rRNA from 1 species